UAACACUUUGUUCAAAGCGAUCUGCACAAGAAUCCAAAAAUUAUACAUUUUAAUUGAGGAAACUGCAAGCAGCCAAAAAACUGAAACUAAAAAAAUCUGAUAGAUACUAAAUUCUGAUCAGAACAGGACAUUAUCAAGUAUUUAACAUGGAAUGGAGGCAGAUAGAGUGUAACAUUCCAGAUUUUUGGGCAAGUUAAACACAGCAGCAGCAUAUUAUGAUAGAGAAUCUAAUAAAUUAACCAUUAUCUUAAAUCAAAAUCCCACAGCAGUUUUGACUAUUUUAUAAGUCACCUAGAUGGUACAAUAUGUUUACUAUUUGUUAUUGUUGGCAUUUGCAUUUUUAAUUGUUCACCAAUUACUAUUGCGAAAAGAAUUAGAAAUCCUAAAUUGGGAAAAAUUGCAACAGCCAUUCCCUACAAGAGAGAAGUUAAUAAUUUCACAUGAAGUUAAUGCCCUCAAGACUCGAAUCUUCACACUUGUGGUGGUGCCGCUGUACCAGGCAAUGGCCCCUACACCUGGAUGCUUAUGUCACACCUUUUAUAUCAUCAAGAUGGUGUUCAUAAGAUAGUA
rnacentral:misc_RNA from 1 species